GGGAGCGUGCAAAAUUUGUCAAAAGUGGCCUUUUAUUGUAAAACGACACGAGAGCUAAUGCUGCAUGCCCGUUGCUGCCUGAAUCAGAAGGGCACCAUCUUGGGGUGAGGGGAAGACAUCCCUAGAUGCUGGAUACAGGCCAUUCCUUAGCCUGGCUGCUUUUAUACCCUUAUAUUAUUUAAAGAAUCCACCUAUUAUGGUUUCAGCUGUAAUCAUCACGCAGAUGUCUACCAAAACUAGAUCUCUUUAGUGUCUUUUUUAACCUUUCCACACUCCAGGUACAUACGGGUACCUCUAGCUUCCUAUUAAGCAUUUCCUACUGAGUGCACCCUAACUUCAAACUCAAAAUGUUAUGUUUUGCUUCCAUUCUCUUCUUUCCUUCAUCUACCUAAAUACUUCUCUGUAUUAAGCUUUUAGAAAACCAACAUUUUCCAUUAUCACUCUCUUGCUUUAAUACUAUAUUUAGUAUUAAAUUUUGUCUCAGGACAAAAUUCAAACCAUUAAGUACCAUACUAGUCCCAACCCACUUUUCCAACAUUAUUUCCAAUUACUUGUCCGCUCAAACCUCCAUAAUGGUCUGCACCAGCCAGAUUUGCCUGCCCUCAAAGGCAUUCCACCUUUGUUCAGGCCUCUCUCCAUACCUGAAAUUGCCUUCCUCUACCAAAUUAGGAAAUAUCCAUCCUUCAAUUCCAACAUCUUUUGUGAAUAUUUACUACUACUAAGUUCCAGAGUAAUACCUUUUUUAAAUUAUUAUUUAUUUAUUUUUUUGAGACGGAGUUUCACUCUUGUUGCCCAGGCUGGAAUGCAAUGGCAUGAUCUCGGCUCACCGCGCCCUCCACCUCCUGGGUUCAAGCGAUUCAGCUGGAUCUCCAGAACUGUUCUCUGGAGGACCCUGGUCCAAACUUUCAUCAGGCACAUACCACUGUCAUCAUAGACCUGCAAGCAAACCCCCUCAAAGGUGACUUGGCCAACACCUUCCGUGGCUUUACUCAGCUCCAGACUCUGAUACUGCCACAACAUGUCAACUGUCCUGGAGGAAUUAAUGCCUGGAAUACUAUCACCUCUUAUAUAGACAACCAAAUCUGUCAAGGGCAAAAGAACCUUUGCAAUAACACUGGGGACCCAGAAAUGUGUCCUGAGAAUGGAUCUUGUGUACCUGAUGGUCCAGGUCUUUUGCAGUGUGUUUGUGCUGAUGGUUUCCAUGGAUACAAGUGUAUGCGCCAGGGCUCGUUCUCACUGCUUAUGUUCUUCGGGAUUCUGGGAGCCACCACUCUAUCCGUCUCCAUUCUGCUUUGGGCGACCCAGCGCCGAAAAGCCAAGACUUCAUGAACUACAUAGGUCUUACCAUUGACCUAAGAUCAAUCUGAACUAUCUUAGCCCAGUCAGGGAGCUCUGCUUCCUAGAAAGGCAUCUUUCGCCAGUGGAUUCGCCUCAAGGUUGAGGCCGCCAUUGGAAGAUGAAAAAUUGCACUCCCUUGGUGUAGACAAAUACCAGUUCCCAUUGGUGUUGUUGCCUAUAAUAAACACUUUUUUCUUUUU
rnacentral:lncRNA from 1 species